rnacentral:lncRNA from 1 species
UUCCUCUUGCUUAGCUGUCAGGGUUAGAUAAACAACAGAAUGAGCUACAAAAGCUCAGCAAGUAACUAUAAUGAACAAAUAAAUUAAACUAUUCAACAAAAUAAGAUGGAGAGUUUUCGAUUAUAGACUAAAGUUACAAAGGUCAUAAUAGAGAUUCAAAGUUCAGGAUCAUUACAUAAAAACUAUUUUUGUAAAUGAAUAAUUCAUAAAACAUUCCUCUUUUCAAAACUUUCGUAAAAUUACCCUUUUCAUAACAUUUUCCUUCAAAUCAAUCCUUUCAUCAAAACUUUAUUUUCCAUCACAAAAAUAUAUCAUUUUCAAAACAGUCCAACACCUGGACAAUUCUUUUCAUAAAACAUUUUACUCGAUUGGAGUGUAUAACGCUCUGGAUUGCACGGGUGAUCAGCCACGUACAAUCCCCAUACCGGACUUUACAGUCCCUCUGGACGUGAAUAGGGUACCCGAAAGGCAACUUAUUUGGCCUUUCAAAUGCCAGCCCUCACUGGUCUUCAUAAUGUGCCAGCCCUCACUGGUCUUCAUAAUCAAAUAGCUGGACCGGCGUUACUCGGCCACUUACGCCUCCAAUCAAUAGAAUUCCGUGGAAAACCAUUAAAUUGGAAAACUUUCUUCUUUAAAAAUAUCUUUCGUUUUAAAAAAAAAACUUACCAACCUUCCAAAUCAUUUGGACACUUGCAAUCACUUGCAAGUUUAAAAUCAUUCUUAAUUUCAAAUAUAGAAACAAGAUCCAUAUUCUUGUGGAGGUCAAGCAUAUGGAAAGGAAAUAUUAUUCAAUCAAAAGAUAGAUAUUCAGGAUAAGAAUAUACUGGAUACAGAAACAUGAUCUUCAUGAAAGAGCUCGCGUUCAAAAGUGAGACAAUAUAUUCAAUGAGAAAGGAAAUCAGGCUUUCAUAAUUCAAAGGGUAGUUCAGAGGUGACAGUACUUAUCAUCAUUUAUCAAUAAGUUGCUUAAGAGAGAGAGAGAAAAGUUACUUGCCUCAACUCGUUUUCCACUUGAUAAAGUAAUCCUCUAACUGUCACCUAAUGGAGCCUUUCCUUUCUUAAGCUUCGCGACCUCGUCUUUCGAAUCUACACGCGUAAUAAUGCUAACUUUAGUAUCCCUUUCAAUACUCAACAUUCACUUAGGACGUCUAAACUAACCUACCCCAUCGAUUCACGUAUCAUUUACUCGUAUAUAAACUUCAUACAAAUACACAUGACAUAAUCACAUAUAACUGUAACACGUAACACAUAAUCACAUUUGUCACAUAAUAUAUUAUAAGCAAGUAAGUUAAUAAAAUACAUAGGUGCGCCUCUAAAAAGUAUUAUUAUUAUUAUUAUAUAUAAAAAUUCUGGCAGCACCUCCUUUGUUUUAUCAACUUCCAGUCGGACUCAAGCCGACACCAACAACCAAACACAACAUUAUAAUCAAAUAAAAAUUUCUAUUACAAAGAAUAUACAUAUAUAUAUAUAUAUGCAUCAUUUAAAACCAACCAACAACUUUAUUGUCUCAUUUUUCACCAUUUACUAAUACCAAAAUUAUAAAUUAAAAUUUUGUAACUCAAACCCAAAAUCUUUUUAUUCCAAUAAAUCCGAAAGUUUAUUUACUUAAAUUUUCAUACUAAACACUUCUCCAAACUCAUUCAUAUAGCCCCUCAAAUAUAUUAAAUACUGAUUUCAAUAUUCUAGCCAAUGACGGCUCGCCACGUCAUCAUCUUCUUCAUCACAUCAACCAGAAUUUCUCUCUCCUCGAAGUCAACUGCCAUGACCAAACUUUGACCGCCUAUAACUCAUUCAUUUUUAAUCCGAUUAACAUGAUUCAAGAGCCUAUUCCAGCUAAUUUUUCACAAGGAAUUCAAAUAUGUCAUUUAUUUUAGAAUCAGAGUUCAUAUAAGCCCUGAACGAACUGAUUUACAGUAGCAGCCACUCCACUUUAUUCUGGAAAAAAAAAUAUAAACACAUAAUAACAUAAUAUACUCAUCAUAUGAACACAAAACACUUAAUCAAAUACCAACAACACAUAACCAAACUGAUUAAACCCUUUUCGAAACAUCAACAAAACUUUUACAAAAUCCAACAUGUAACUCGGAUUACAUAUUUAGACGAGAUAAUAUGAAUACUUUUGGACUCAAAGUAGCAUCAUCGCCCCCGCCGGCUCACCGGAGCUCAUCACCGGCGGCGGCAAAACCCGGAGGUGCCCGAAUCGGGUCUCCAAUCACGGGUUCCACCAAUUAAUAAUCGUUUAAGCCAAAGCCCCAUGCUAAUUUCAUCAAAAACGAAGUAUAUUUUCAGAAAUCAAACCCGACCCGAAGUGGGUUCUUCAAAAAUCAGACCAUGCAUACAACUAUACACGCACACACGCACAUACCAGUGUUUAGGAGAAGGAGAAGAGUAAUAAUCGGACAUCAAUUCAACGAAUUAGCCGAAAAGUCAAGAAAGAGAAGAAGAGAGAUGAAGUACCGAGAGAGAAGAGAAAAGAAGAAUGGAGAAGAGUCGAGAGAUGGAGAGAAUUGGGGUGAGUCUGGU